UUAUAUUUUUCCACUUGUCGCAAUCGUAUAAACUGGGGGGAGAAAAAAAGAGGAUUGCAAAUGUGGCCUUUCACUUCCAUCUGUGGGGUCAGGCACUGGAAAAUGGAUAUGAUGUGACAUGACCAGUAUCAUUUUGCCUGCAUGAUUCGGAGCUUGAUAGAAAAAUUGUUGGUGAGCGAUGGAGAAAAGGACCUGCAAUUUUGGAAGGGAAUGGAGAAAAUGGAAAAAUAUUUAUGCUCAGCUUGUUUGGGUGGGGUGUGGGAUGGACUUCUGAACUUUGGGAUGCUUCUCCAGACUGAAAUGUGGAAACGUUUGAGACCCUACUCCAAUAUGCCUUGUGUCUUUGGCUAGAGAGAAGAGAAGAGCUACCAACGCCAUCCACCAGUGCAGAGGAGGCCGCAAUGGCAAGUGGGUGAGAAACUCAGCUAGGAGGCUGGAGAUUUUAGCUUCCCCAUCCCAGUCCCUGUCUCUGACACUGACUUCCCCUAUGACCUUGGGUCUCUGCUUUGUAUUUUUUUCCUUGUGCUCACCUGGUCUUGCCUGUUUAGACUCCAAGCUGUUUGGGGCAGGUGCUUUCUUUUAAAAUGCAUGUGUAGAGUGCCUAGUGCUAUGGAGCCUGAAUCUCAGUCGGAUGUUACCCUGUUACAAAUAAUAGUAAAAAUAAGGAGUAGGAGAGAACAGUAAAGAAGCAGGACAAAUACCAGCUGGUAUUAGCUGCUUUUCUAUGC